rnacentral:rRNA from 1 species
GACGAACGCUGGCGGCGUGCCUAACACAUGCAAGUCGAACGGUGACGCGGAGUUUGCUCUUCCGAAGAGUGGCGAACGGGUGAGUAAUACGUGAGCACUCUGCCUCUAACAGGGGAACAACAGUUGAAAACGACUGCUAAUACCGCAUGACGUCUCGGGAUGGCGUAUUCGUUCUUCCAAAGAUUUUAUCGCUUAGGGAUGGGCUCGCGUCGGAUUAGUUAGUUGGCUGGGUAACGGCCCACGAAGUCGACGAUCAGUAGCCGGACUGAGAGGGUGAACGGCCACAUUGGGACUGAGACACGGCCCAGACUUCUACGGGAGGCAGCAGUGGGUGAUAUUGGACAAUGGGGGCAACCCUGAUCCAGCGACGCCGCGUGAGUGAUGAAGGUUUUAGGAUUGUAAACCUCUGUUGACGGAGAUAAAAAUGACGGUAUCCGUAGAGAAAGCCACGGCUAACUACGUG